ensembl:lncRNA
CUAACAUGUAAGCUGCGAGCUGUCACUAUACAAGAACGUCUAUAACUCUGACCGAGGUCUUUCUGUUGGGACUCUAGCCUGGGAAGGACGCAUCAGUGGUUAUUAUGAAACGUUAAACUAAGAGUAAUUACAGUGAAGUAACAAGUAUCGAUCAGAAAGCAGUGAACUUUUGAGGAGCGUGUAAAAGCAGAAGACACAGCUCGUGUAAAUCAACAGAGCAGAAUUGUUCUUGAUUAAGAUGACUCACCUGAAGCGUUUUCAAGGAAUUCCCAUGUCGAAGGAGAAAGAGCAGCAGUGGCGGACUCAUGUGGCAGAAGUGAGCUCCAGCCAGGAGAAGACUCUGCAGGACAGACUGGCAAGACUCCGGAGAUUCAGGGAGUUCCAGAAAAAAGUGUUAGGAGAGGAUUCUGGGAUGGAGGGCGAGGCAGCCGGACUUACAGUCAAUAAACUCCUCACCAGGAUGUAGAGGCACUACAUGACACUUGGAAAGAGGAGUGGCCAGAAAUAUGUUAGCAGCAACACUAAUACUGAGCUAACUGAUGAAAGUGGUUGCAAUCUUUCGAAGCUGGCAGUAGCUUAAUGUUUUGCUUCUUUUUGGGAUUGUUGCAUGUCUUGUUUUUCUCACUUGAGUGUUUUAAAAUCACAUUAUAUAGCAGAGACUAUAAUGAGCGACUGACUCACCGUUAUGUAACAUUGUAGUGUUUCCGUGUUUACCUAAAACAAGGAUUUGCCACUGUAGGCUGCUGCUUGCUUUUAAAAAUAAAACACUUCUGCAAAAGGAAUCAAAAAAGCUGAUGUGGCAUUCUUUCUAAUGCAAACUGUGCAAAGAAUAAACCAGAGCUAUAACAGCCAAAGUAUCUCUGGCAUUGUUAAAGUUCAGGCUGCCACACUUUUACUGCAACACUUUUGCUCCAGGACAUCUAAGUAAAUAACUUUAUCUUGGUUUCAAAAAGUCAUUUUCAGUGAAUCUGAUUUUCGAGGGAUUUUUGAAGGAUUGCUAUUAUCUAGCAGUACAAGCAGCUACAGUAGACUCCAACUCCAACAAACUGUCAGGGUCCCUGCCUGGCCUCCCCUCUCUGUGCUCUUCCUCUCUUUCUCUCCUUCUUUUCCUCUCUCCCUCCCUCCUUCUCUCCUCUCUCAUGCUGUCUCUGCUCCUCUGCCUGUCGGUGCCUCCUCCUCUUGUUCCACUCCUGGCUGCUGGUACUCAGUUCUCAUCUGGAACAGCUGCUGGACCAGCACACCUGCAAAACAUCACCACCAACUACUACACAGCAAUGAAGCCUGGUUUUGGACUCCACUCGGCACCAGAUCGUAGCAUCAGCUGUCAGUCGGUCAGGUAGUAUGACACGUUUUGCAGUUCUGUUUGAGGUCUGCACUCCUCAGUUCUGUCAACUGCACUAUCCAGUUAUGCCCAACUCCGUGAGCCGUCGCUGCAGCCCUCCUCCCCUGCAGUCCGAUGAGGACUUGGACCCCCAUGUUCCGCCCGGCCCACAUCUGGGCCAGUUGACAUACCACCUCCACCCCCGAACAGGAUCUGGACCACGUUUAUUCCACCUGACCCGGCCGCCUCGCUGGUUGACCUGGACCCUCCUCCUGAAGAUGACCCGGCUAACUCCCUGGCUUUCUCUCCGGUCUCCACCGCAGCUCUCCGUCGCAUGUCCUGCAGCGCCGGCAUGUGUCUUCUGGACGGCCGGUCCCCUGAGCCUGCCUGUCCCCCUCAAUUCCCAUUAGUUUCUUCUUGUGAGUUUUGUUGAGUUUGAAUUUCAGUCCGUGUUGUGAGUUUGUUUAGUUG